UCUCUCUCUUCUCUCUCCCCGAUUCCCUCUCCGUCUCCGACCUCUACACCUUCUUCCGGCCAUAACUCCUCCAUUCGGCGACGGAUUUUGACGCAUAAGGUGUCGUUGGAAAGCUCUCUUCCUUCUCUUCAUUUCUGGGUUUGUUUGGUAGCUUAAUUUGAACUGUGGAAGGUGCGGAAUCGAGAAGAAGAGGACGGUCACUGUAGCAGAUUGAGGUCAAUGCCGGUUUCUCCCGAUUCCGGCCACCACAGACGACAAACCUUAGGCCUUUAGAAGCGCCUUGAGACGUAUAUGAUGCUCCCCAAGUAUUUUGCAGCGAUUUGAAGCGUGGAGGAAGAAUCGACGGUUUGAAGUUUGGGGUCACUAUUCACAAAUCGGGUUCAAACUUCUCCUUAAUUGUUGAGGGCGAUGUAUCGAGCUACUGCUCGACGAAGGAACUCGUUUACGUGAUCGUCGGAAUAGUACUUUUGCAGGCGAAAUUAGUUGAGGUCGGGCGUACAUGGAAUUGAGGCAUAGUCAACAGCAUGGCUUCCGCGUUUGCCUUUGAAUUAGGUUUUCCUUGUUUACCUUUCUAUUAGAAUUGCUCUGAUUACCUGUGGGAUUAAUGUUAUUCAAGUUGCGUUUUGUGUUAUGUGAAUUGGACGAUGUUGUGAUUUGGGGAGCAGGGUGGCUCCAGGAGAAUAAGGAUGAGUGAUUUAGAAGUGUAAAUUUCCUUUCUACAGGUUUUGGGUAGUCCAUUUUAGGGGAAGUUCUGCCAAAUUUUUGGAAGAAUUUCUUCUAAGGUGGACCCCGCAGGGCCACUUCGGAUUUCAGGGUGAAAUCCGGGGGUUGGUC